rnacentral:tRNA from 1 species
GGGCGCUUAGCUCAGCUGGUUUAGAGCAUCUGCCUUACAAGCAGAG